CAUAGAGGAAGUAUCUAAAGACAUCUUGGCUAUGCUGUUGAACCCACCACUGAUUGCUGCAUUUGUGAUUGGCUCAGCCACAAUCUGUUGUAUCUUCCUGUGUUUGACAGGGAAAUGUAAAAGAUGCAAAGAGAGGAUCCCAAAGGACUCAGACUCCAAAAGCUCAUUCACGAACGUGGAAAUGGUGGCAUGUGAAUACUAAUAGACAGAUGCAGGACAGGCUGUGCGGGGCGAACAGACCCCUCUGCAGGUGGUGCUGAUGGAGGGAGCUGAAAACUCAGAACCCCAGACCAGUGGAGCUGCAYGAAACUCUGCCAAAGGGGAUGUGCACUGUGCCACUAUCAACUACUCCCAACUGAAGAAGAAGACUCCUGAGGAGGCAGAGAAGAAAACCAUCACCACAUAGUACGCCAAAAUCAAACGAGAGAAGAAGAAAGAAAGGGGAUGGAGGAGAGGGGUGUAGUGAUGAUGGGGAAGGAUUAGGAGAAAGAGAGCAGUAAGCCAGCAUAAGAGACAGAUGAGGAUACUGCACUUUAUUCCAACGUCAAGGCUAUUAUGGGUGGUGGUGAGUGACAAAGCAAUUUAAGCUAGAAACGUGGGGGAUAGCAUACAGUACUAUAUAGCCAUGUGUUCUUAUAUCAUUUUCAGAAUCCAGAUUGAAAGUUUUAUGUUGAUAAUGGGACUUUUCUUCAACUGAAACUACUGUAGUUAAUAGUUUUGGUGU